UUUUUUUCUUUUUUUUUUUUUUUGAGAGAGAGAGAUAGGUAGCAGCACGCUGCCACAGUUUCGUUUAAUAAUUUCCUUUUAGAAAUAAACUUAGCUGGAAAUGUGAAUCAAUUUGGAUUCGAAUUUGGGUCUCGGGUACCAACCAUUAAGUCUUUUGCCACUUGCUCUAGAGAUGGUCGGUUAUUUGGAUGCCAGUUCAUUUCAAUCAUUUAUAAUAGGAAAAACUUCAAAAACCCCCUAUGUGAUUUCGUAGUUUCUCAAUUUGGCCCCAUGUAGUUUAAAAUGUAUCAAUUUGCCCUCCCGUGGUUUCUUUUUUCUCUUUUCCUUAUCAAUUUCAUUUAUUUUUUUUCUUAAAUCAGUGAUAAAGUUAAAAUUAAAGGGUACUAAAGUAAAUAUUUGAUACAUCUAGAUGGGUAUCUGAAGUUUUUUUGUAUAUAAUUUAAUAAAAUAUUAACGAAAAAGCUACCGAAAAGAUAAAAACAAAACCACAGGGGGGCAAUUUGAUACAUUUUAAACCACAUGGGGGCAAAAUGAGAAACUACGAAACCACAGGGGAGGUUUUUGAAGUUUUCCCUUUAUAAUAAUUUAUUUAUUUAUUUAUUUUUAAAUUAUGUACCUCUUAUAUCUUAUUAAUAAAUUGUGAAAAGAAAUUUUAUGGUCAAAAGUGACUUUAUCUUCAAUAGAGUAUUUAACAAACUCCUUUUCAAAAUUAGAAUCAAUUUUUUGAUUGUUGAGGCUCAAAAUUACAAGCAGGUAAAAUCUAUUUUUUUAAACCUGAUUUUGAUUUUAUAUUUAAAUUUUAAUAUUAAAAUUUAAUUUUUAAUUCAAAAUUUACAUUUACAUUUAAAUUUUAUUUUUGAAUUUUUAUAAUUUAACUUUUAAAUUUCAUAUUUUAAUAUUUACAAUUUAGAAAUUAAAUUUCAAAUUAUAAAUUUCAAAUUUUAAAUUUUAAAUUAAAGAUAAAAAUUUAAAUUGUAAAAAAUUUUAAAUUUUAAAUUUCAAUUAU
rnacentral:lncRNA from 1 species